rnacentral:lncRNA from 1 species
CCUCUCUCCACGUCCACGGCGCCGAGUCUCGCCACGGUGGCGCAGGCGCCAGGGAGGUUCCCCGGCUUUGCCGCGCGGAGGAAGUCCCGGUUACGCAGAGCGCGCUGGGGCAGGGCUGACCUUCCCCUUUCUCUACUUCACUGGCCUCCUCCAGACGUGGUGGUUGCGCCCUUUCGGCCUCGCUUUCCGUUUUUUGGCUUCAUCCCCUAGAUCUGCAAACAGUUCCUCGUGUUUCUUCCGUUAGCCGGGAAACGCGAACUGCAGCGUUUGGGACCCGGGUUUGCGCGUGUGGAAAGCAAAAGGGGUUACUCUGCUGGAGUUCGACAUUGCAAAUAAAGGUCUUUAUCCCCGGCGGUUCUACAAAAUUAGUUCUGCAGGGAUUCUGGUUGAAAGAAGCGUUAAAGUGGGCCUUGUAGGAGUCAGCAAUAAUCCAAUUUUACAUGGGUGCAGGUGGCUGCCUGUGUCUAGCGCUUUCACACAUCUCAUAUCUUCAUCCACGCCGUGGGUAUUUUUUUUCCACGGUGUGUUUCUGUUGCUGCCUCCAGUAUAUUGCUUAAUCAUCCUACCUGGUAAUUAUUUAUGCAUUUUUCUCCUACUCUCGACUCAGCUCCUAGGGAAUAAAAACACAUUAACUUAUCUUUGUGCCCACAGCACCCACCAAGUAUUUCCAUCACGUAAUACUGCCUCUAGAAAGGCAGGAGGAGAAGCAGUCACGCUAAGGAUCUAGGCAAGCCAGAUCUUUUGUCCGGUUUUAGGAGGUGGCCAGCCCUUACUUAUUCCACAAGUGUUUUUCCAGAAACUCAGACUUGAUAUUGCCUCAAGUCCAAGGCAGUGUGCUUCCCCCACUCACAUAUCACUAAUAGUAGCUAACAUUUGUUCAGAUCCCUGUAUGUACUCUGCCACUGUUUUAAAUGUUACACCCGGGUUACCUCAUUUAAUCCUUACAACUGCCCUGUGAGGUAGGUACUAUUAUUAUCUCUACUUUGUAGAUGGGAUUCACCGAGGCACAGACGGUUAAAAAACCUAGCCCAAAUAACACAAAUAAACAGCAGAGCAUGCAGUGCUAGAGUCUGCAUUCUUAACAAUUGCUAUAUUCUCCCUCUCCGUGAAUGUGGGCUGAGAUGCUGAAACAGGCAUGUGCUGUGGGGGAGAAAAAGCUUUGUCCAACCAAGUGCUUUCUAAUGUCCAGAUGACAUAGAGCUAGGAUUUCCUAAUGUCUUUUUUCCCCUAUUUUUCUCUCCAUUUCAGGGUUGAGUUUGUGCAUCGAUUGUGAACACAACAGGCAGCAGGCUAUAAUGGUGGUCCUGGCUGGAGUAGUUUUCACAGACUUCAGUAAUCUGUGGAGAUGAACGGGCAGUUCUCUGUAGUUUUCACAGAUCACUGCCAGUUCGUUUUGAGGCCUUCAGGAGUGAAGACCUGGCUCAUCAUCACUCUUUGUUGUUUUGUUAAAUUUAUUUACACCCUACUUUAUUCCAGAGGAAAGGAUUUAACGUAGUUUACAUAAAUGUGUACAUCAGGGUAAAUUAAAAAUAAGUACAGAGAAAAAUAGGACAAAAGAAAACCGUGAGUGUGAAAGAUAAGAUUAAGCCAGCAGUUUUGUAUGCAAAAUGCAUGGUGUAAGGUCCUAUUGGUUUGCUGGAGGUAGGCCACACAUAUGACUCUCAGUUUUCUAGCAACCAAGAAAAAGAUCAGUUGCAAUCGGAGUAGGUGUUUUGGCUAAGCUGGAACUAGGACUUGAAUAUAGCAGCUUGUAGAGUUAUACCACUUGCCCAAAUCUCUUCCAUGAGCCUCUUUAAGUGUAACAGAAUGCCUGGGAGCACGUAAAUGCUCCUACUUAGAUGCCUACUUAGCCUCUAAUUUUCAUGGGGCCCAUGAAUCCCAUGAAAAAGAACUUUGAACCCUGUCCACAAUUAGAGUUCAGGUAUACGCAGACAUGUUUAAAGACAAGGGACACCCAAAGGAAAGAUUGCACAGAGAGAAAGUGAGCAUCCGAGAGAAAAUCACCACAAGUGAGGCAGAGGGAGGCCGGUCUCAGCAGAGUUUUGGAGGUCGUGAGAAGAAGAGGUAGGAGAUAGGAGAGUGGUUCCGAGUACUUGCCUGCUGAUGUUACCUUCUCCACCCCCACCAGGUUUUCCAGUGCCUGGAGUCUUGGGCAGGAAUGGGCCACUGUAAGAAAGAGCUUUAUCACUAGGGCCUCAGCCAACUUUUCUGUGGGAUAUCCCUCCAAAAUAAUUAAGAGUUCAGAAUGCUUCAGAUUUUGAAGUGAAACUGGUACAUAUAUUAAGUGUUACUUAAUAACCCGAUAGUUUCUAGGGCAGCUCACCAUAAUCCCAAGUAUUAGCCACCACCCUCACCCCCUUCAGAGUAAAAUGUGUUUCCUGAAGGAAGUUGGGAAAAUGAAGAAAAAAAAUACAAAAAUCACCUAUAAUCUUACCAGUCAUAGAUGGCAGUUUUCCUGUCUUAUUUCUGAAUAAUGGUUGUUAAACAUUUGCCAGCACACCAUAAGGCUUAGGGAGGCAUCUGGGUCAUGCAUGUUAAUAUCCUUGGGUAAUUCCAGAAAUCUCUAUGAAGGGAAACUCCUGUUAUUUAUCUAGACUUCCUGAUUGCAAGGGGUUUGGGCAUCAUGAUUUAGGGGUCUUAAUAAAAUUAUUAUUUUAUUUUUACUAAUAGAUAAUGUCUGUGCCUAUCAGAUAAAGGCAAACCAGUGCUCAGAGGAACCCAACCAUCUCUGAAUUGAGACCAGAGAGCUGUCUCUAUGGAUAGUCCUUAGAGAAGGCAUUUCGGAACACAGUAAACAGCAGCCUGGUGACUCCGAUUACAGGGCCAGUUGCCUUUGUUACAAUAAAAGCAAGUCAUCUACACAGAUUUUUCCUACCAGGAAGAGCAUGUGCUGACCAACAGACAUGAAUUUCAGCCUGGUAGUUACAACAUUCACAGUAUACCCACAUCACUAAGCUGGGAGGCACAUUUUGAGACCCAGAAUCCUGACACCUCCAUGCCUUCAAAAGGAUUCCCAUGAUUGGCUCCUUCUUGUCCCUAAGUCUCAGCUAAAGUGUUAUCCUGAAGAAAGGCCUUCACUGAUGAUCCCAUCCAAAGUAAUCACUGUAUUACACCAUUCAAUUUUAUUCUUUGCAUAGCAUUUACCCAUUGCUAAUAUUUUUCUUAUUUAUUUAUUUUUUUUAAAUAAUCUAUCUCCUGUCAACUAGAAUGUAAGCCCUGAUAGGGCAGGACUCUUUUAUUACACUGUAUUUUCAUUAUUAUAUCUACAGUGCCAAAAACUAUCCCUAACACAGGGGAGAUGCUCUAUACAUGUUUGGGGAGGAGGGAGGAAGGAAGGGAGGGAGGGAGAGAGGAAAGAAGGAAGGAAGGUGGGAAGAAAGGAAAGAAAGGAAGACAAUUGGGAAGGAUUUUUCUGAUCUGAGGCUGAUUGUUGGAGGCAUCCAACUGGUUAUUAUUUUGCUUAACAGCAAAAUAUUUUUAUCCACCUCCUUUGGAAACAAGAGAUCUUAAAGAUGUUUUGAGUUGAUUACAUAAGACUAUUUAACAGUGGUUAUGAAAACAGAUGAGUUAUCCUGAGAGGCUUUACUAGAUAUUUGUCAUCAUGAGCUCAGUCUCAUAAGUUAUUAUAAUAGAAAAUCAGGAAAAACUGCUUAUGUGUUUGAAUUCAAGUAGCUAAGUCUCAAAAUAUAAUAAAAAACAGUUGCACUACAGAUUUUCUUUCAAAAUAGCUCAAAAAUACCUUGUUGGCAGCAAAGGGAGUAAUAAUAAAAUAUCUUCCAAAAAACCUGAAAAUAGGAAAUAAAUUUGCCUUCUGAGAGUUAAACCAGUCAUACACACACACACACACACACACACACACACGUGCACACAUGCACACAUGUGCACGCAUGUGAACAUGCAUAGAAUCACACAGAGAUUAGGCUAAACCCAAUGAGGGAGUAAACUGAGAGAUAACCAGUGUGUACCUGAAGACUUUGGGAAUACCCCUAACUUCAGUGACCUGGGGGUAAUCCAGGAAGGCAAUCACCAGAAUGUGUUUGUUAAUUUAAUCCGUUGUAUGGAGAAAGUCUGGAUGAACAGAGGAUGUAGGCAGAGAGCUGUCAGCCUGUAGCCUGGAAAACCUCAACCUAAGAAGCAAGGAGUGGGUAGCACACUCCCAACUACUGUUCAAGAGAGAAGGGGCCUUGGCCUAAGGAUUUGAGCUCUCAGGUCUCUGUGGCAAAUGUAUCUUUGGAUAAGUCAUCUACCCACCUCUCCUUACUCAGAUUUCAUGCUCCACAUGGCUCCCUGUGUGCUGAAGCCUGAUUAUAGGAAGCAAAGACUCUGGUCUGCUGAUGUGAAGGCUCACCUGUUAGCUGGUUGCAUUUAUGGUUAAAAUGGAAUGAAUUUGAAUUCUGGCUAUACAGCAGUCUCUGUGAGCUUGGGUUAGUAUGAGUUUACCUGUGAGAUAAAGUUCCAGAGCAGAGUGACUUGUGACUUGUGUUGGGUCCAUACUAAGUGGCAGACAGUGGACCAGAAUUUAUACCACAAAUCCAGGUUGGCUCUGAGAAGACACUGCCACUAAGGACUGAUCUAAACUCAGUUCCCUUUCAAGUUCACCAAUUGUAUGACUCACAUGACAUUGAAUGAGGCCGGGAGUGUGAUACUAGCUGGACUCACCUUCAAGAACCCAAAAGACCCCAGUGGAUAAGAUGUGGAUACUCUAGUCCAUGGGUCAGCAAACUUUUUCUGUGAAGGGCCAGAAAACAAAUCUAUUAGGCUUGUGGACCACAUACAGCCUCUAUUACAUAUUUGUUAUCUUC